rnacentral:rRNA from 1 species
UACGGAGGGAGCGAGCGUUGUCCGAAGUUACUGGGCGUAAAGCGCGCGCAGGCGGCGGUGUUGGCCCGGCGUGAAAGCCCCCGGCUCAACCGGGGAGAGUCGUCGGGGACCGCACCGCUUGAGGGCGGUAGGGGCUGGUGGAAUGCCUGGUGUAGUGGUGAAAUGCGUAGAGAUCAGGCAGAACACCUGGGGCGAAGGCGGCCAGCUGGGCCGUCCCUGACGCUGAGGCGCGAAGGCGUGGGGAGCGAACGGG